ACUCAAAUGAAUAGACGGGGGCCCGCACAAGCGGUGGAGUAUGUGGUUUAAUUCGACGCAACGCGAAGAACCUUACCAGGGCUUAAACUGCAGGGUAAACCCUCCGAAAGGAGGGCUGCUUCGGCGAUCCUGUAGAGGUGCUGCAUGGCUGUCGUCAGCUCGUGUCGUGAGAUGUUGGGUUAAGUCCCGCAACGAGCGCAACCCUUGUCCUUAGUUACCAGCGCGUAAUGGCGGGGACUCUAAGGAGACUGCCGUCGUAAGACGGAGGAAGGUGGGGAUGACGUCAAGUCCUCAUGGCCCUUAUGUCCUGGGCUACACACGUACUACAAUGGCCGGUACAGCGAGCCGCAAGAACGCAAGUUCAAGCAAAUCUCGAAAAGCCGGCCCCAGUUCAGAUCGCAGUCUGCAACUCGACUGCGUGAAGGCGGAAUCGCUAGUAAUCGCCGAUCAGCACGCGGCGGUGAAUACGUUCCCGGGCCUUGUACACACCGCCCGU
rnacentral:rRNA from 1 species